AUUGAACGCUGGCGGCAGGCUUAACACAUGCAAGUAGAGCGAGCGGCGGACGGGUGAGUAAUGUCUGGGAAACUGACUGAUGGAGGGGGAUAACUACUGGAAAAGGUAGCUAAUACCGCAUACCAUCAGAUGUGCCCAGAUGGGAUUCGCUAGUAGGUGGGGUAAUGGCUCAACUAGGCGCAGCGCCCUAGCUGGUCUGAGAGGCUGACCAGCCACACUGGAACUGAGACACGGUCCAGACUCCUACGGGAGGCAGCAGUGUGGAAUAUUGCACAAUGGGCGAAUGCCUGAUGCAGCCAUGCCGCGUGUUUGAAGAAUGCCUUCGGGUUUUAAAGCACUUUCAGCGAGGAGGCGUUACUCGCAGAAGAAGCACCGGCUAACUCCGUGCCAGCAGCCGCGGUAAUUC
rnacentral:rRNA from 1 species